CAACAAUCAGGAACAAUGACAACUACUUCAGCUGCUAGUCCACACUUUCUGUUUCACCGAUUCCUCCUGAACUCACCUAGCACACUACCAGCAGGCAGAACUGUGAAUGAGAUCAACCAAGGUCAAAUAGAGGAUAAAGCUGCUGCUGUGUGGCUUUUUGAUUCCAUCUCUGUGGAAAUCUUAUAAGCAACACAACCCAUUUGCCCACUAUCACCGUGGAGAAUCACAGGACCCCAAAAUGGAGGACGACUAGAUAAUGAAGGGUCAUAUUAAUAAUUUGAAGUCCCUUGGAUCUGCAAGAUACAAAGUGUCCUUGGAGGGAGAGGAAAAAGAUGGGAACAGAGGAAGAUAAAGAGAAGAAGAGAGAAUAGAAGGUAGAGGCACUAGAAAAUAUACUCAUCCUCUUCUACCACAAUGCCUACUGCCAUCAUCAUCGACUUUGACCCCAACUGUUAGGUGCACUGGCAUUUGGUUUGUGUGGGGCUCCUUCUUGAGCACUGUUAGUGCAGGAUGUUGACCUUGUUUGUCAUCAGGAGCAGGCCAAGAAGCUCAACAGACUGGUUCCAUGGAGGUUGCAAAGCUGCUAUAACUGCACCCACAUCAGCCUUGACCACCAACCAAGCUCUUGAAGAAGCAGGAAGACAACAGGUCUCUGGACUCUGGGAAAAGAAAACAGCCCGUUCCCAACUCUGGAGCUUAGUCGGAUCAAGGAGAACUCAUCAAACUUCCAGUGAGGGCUGAGACCCACAGCCUGGAAGCAUAGGGGAAAAACAGAGCUGUACCUUCUGCCUCUAAAAUGUGAGCUGCACAAAAAGGCCUUGCGAACUCUGCUCACCUUCAGGGAUCUGGUGCUCCUGGCUGAGCCACUUGCCUUCCUUGCCAUCACUUAAUCAGGCACAACGUCCACUCGAUGAUAUCUCAGUAUAUGUUCACAUGAACAUACACAAAGUCCCCCAAAACCUGAAAGACACAAUGAGGUAGAAUACACUAGGGAAAUUUCCAGAAACUUAAAUUACUGGGAAACUUCGAUAUUGAGAAAAUCUACAAUAUCUGGACUGAAAGCUCUAAGCACUUGGUUAGAAAACAAUUUGAAGGACAAGUUUGAAAUUAUUUGAAUUAGAAAUUGUGGCUCCUCUUGCAGUUAGUUUGGGGCUUUAGGAGAGUCCUUAACUUUCUCAAAGAGUGAGACUAUUUUGAACUGUUCAGUUUAUUGCAGCAGUGUAAUCACCAUGUAGCAGUCUUCUAGGCUUCUGGAAAGAGGUAAUGCUUCUCCAAGAGCGGCUUUGGCAGUGGGAGAAUUGGGAUCCUGGCACUUACCCAUUUUUAUCUAUCACAGAAAGAAAUAAAUGUCUUGAUUCUUGAUUACA